rnacentral:rRNA from 1 species
CUUGGUCAUUUAGAGGAAGUAAAAGUCGUAACAAGGUUUCCGUAGGUGAACCUGCGGAAGGAUCAUUAAUUGAACGAACAUGUUACCCGGCAUGGUAUUUCAAACCCCACCCGUGUAUCCAACCUGUUGCUUCCGUGCUGCACAUUCUGCAAACGCGUGCCUUCCGGUCCGGAGUACCUACUACUCACAGGGCCGUUGGGAGCCAGCACGGGAGGUAAACCACAAACUCUUGCCCUUGAAUGCCUUACGUCUGAGCUGUAGUACACGAAAAUUUAAAACUUUCAACAACGGAUCUCUUGGUUCUCGCAUCGAUGAAGAACGCAGCGAAAUGCGAUAAGUAGUGUGAAUUGCAGAAUUCCGUGAAUCAUCGAAUCUUUGAACGCACAUUGCGCCUCCUGGUAAUCCGUGAGGCAUGCCUGUUUGAGCGUCACUAAAAUCAACUCAACCACAUUUGUGCUUGGUCAUGGAGGAAGAGUCCGUCUUGUUGCGGUCUCCCCUCCCAAAAUCAACGGCGGAAAUUCACUGGCACUCGGCGUAGUAUUAUUAUUCGCCGAUUAUCCAGUGUCGUUCCUGCCACCAAAUCCCCAAAAUUCUCUUGAUUGACCUCGGAUCAGGUAGGGAUACCCGCUGAACUUAAGCAUAUCAAUAAGCGGAGGA